rnacentral:rRNA from 1 species
AUGCAUGCAGUCGAACGCAGCGGCCGUGUGCCGGCUGCGUGGCGAACGGCUGAGGAACACGUGGGUGACCACCCCCGGAGUGGGGGAUACCCCGUCGAAAGACGGGACAAUCCCGCAUACGCUCUACGGAGGAAAGCCGCAACGGCGCUCCGGGACGGGCCUGCGGCCCAUCAGGUAGUUGGUGUGGUAACGGCGCACCAAGCCAGUGACGGGUACCCGGUCUGAGAGGACGGCCGGGCAGACUGGGACUGCGACACGGCCCAGACUCCUACGGGAGGCAGCAGCAAGGAAUUUUCCCCAAUGGGCGCAAGCCUGAGGGAGCAACGCCGCGUGGAGGACGACGGCCUUCGGGUUGUAAACUCCUUUCGGGUGGGACGAGCAUGACGGUACCACCUACGAAUGCAGCCCCGGCUAACUCUGUGCCAGCAGCCGCGGUAAGACAGAGGGGGCAAGCGUUGUCCGGAGUUACUGGGCGUAAAGGGCGCGGAGGCGGCCUGCUGCGUCGGCGCUGAAAGCGCCCCGCUUAACGG